GUCCUAGGGAAGCGCUUCGCCCCGCAGCUCUCACCAGGGCAGCUCGUAAUGGCCGCUGGCAGCAGGAGCGGACCCCAGCGUGUCGGUGGGCCCCCGCUUCUCAGCAGCCGCGGGCCCGGCCUUCUCGUCCUCCACGACUUCCAGCACUUCUUCCUCCUCCAUCUCGGCGGCUGCAGGCCCGCCGUCGUCUUCCCGCCGCCUCCGUGAGGGGCGGCCGCGCUGUGGGCCCGCCUCGUGGGGCGGGGGGGGGGCAGGCCGGAGGGCGGGGCCUCUGCGGGAAGCGGUGGGUUUGAGGGUGGAUUUUUGAGUGCUCGGCGGCCCUUACACGGCUGCCCGAGAUAACUGUGGAUUAACCUCAUCUUCCUUAAAGUAGGAAAUUAAAUAAAGACAUAAUGAGGUGACGUACAAGGACAGGGCAAUUGGCUUUAUUUCCCCAGCGUUCAGACCAUUUGUAACGCAAAUGCCGCAUGAAUACAUUGCCCUUGUAACGUUUGGGCUCGCUGCGUUACUCUUUUCCUUUGGAUUUGACCUGCUGCAGUGUUCAGUAGGAGCCAACGUGAGGCAGUAAAAUAUUGCGGCUGCAUCAAGCACUGGUGGUCAUAAAAGCCUGUCAGUACAGCACACGAGUCAUGCUUUGAUUUCUUGCCAAAUUAAACAGUUGUUAUGCUCUUAGGAAGUACCAGCCUCUGGAUAAGAUAUAAUUUUCCUGGCCAGCAUUAAUUCUCCCGCUAUCCAUGCAGGAUUACUGCUGAUAAGCACCCAAAGGGCUGGUUGAAAGACUAUUUGUGAGAAUUGGUGCAGAGUGCCUGAUGACAGAUUUUGUAAUGUGUUUCUGCUAACCAAUUACAAUAUGUGUUUCUUUGCAGAGCAGCCUUCCAAAGCACUGCACUCUCUGUGUAGGCAGUGACUCCUCGCGUAUCUGCAGUGAUUCUGUAGCUUAUAGCACAGGUAUUUAUUGAGGGUACCAUGAUAUUAGUAGGGUAUGUGGAUAGGCAUACAUCAGCUGAAAGCUUUGACAACCACCUGUCCCAGAUUGUGAGCUGUUGGUAUUGUAAGCCUGAGAUCACAGGAUACAUCCAGGAUAAAUUGAGUUGCAACUUCAGUGCUGAAAUAGCAGAACUCUUUUGAUGUAUAAUCAACACUGCCUGAAAGUAGAAUGACCCCAAAUUUAAGUAAAUUCUUGCUGAUAUCCUUCUUUCACACCCCAAAAGAUAGGCAGAAAAAGCUUACUAAGCAUCUGUAACUGAUAUACAGUACAGAUAACACCUUUUUGCUGAUAAUCUAGUUAGCAAGCUGAGUGCUUUUCUUGGAUGUAUUCAAACAGCAUCUGCUACUAGUAAUGAAGAUCCUAUGAGAGAAAUGAAACAGUGAUGCUGGGGUUUAUCCCAGGAGCGAGGAUGUCUUAUCUGCAGGUGCCUGCUGUAGGAAACAAGGCCUUUAAAGUCCACACAGAGGUUCUUCUCAUCUCAUCUGCAGUCAGAAACUCGUACUCUAACCCCUGUAGGGAAACUAAACCUCAAUGCAAGAGGUUUUGUCAGGGAGUUGGUAAAUUGCAGAAGUUGUGGCAAAAGAAUUGCCGUUUUGCAUGCUAUGGCUGGUGGCAAACAAAGCAGUUUUGUUUUGAGUUUGAGCAAGAAGUUGAAACCAGUGAAGUCACCCAAAGCAAGGCAGUAGUUGAAAACAGUGAAGAGCUACAGUGAUGAAAUGAAGGGGGACGUGAGGUGUCAAACCUGCCAGGCAAGAGAAAUAGUCCAACACAACUUCAGGCAAUCAUUAUCAAAAAGUACAUGUGUACUGCAUAUUUGUUACAGAUAAGUCACAAAAAGUUAUGUGUAAUGCUUUGAGGAGGGUGGGGAGAAAUGUGGAACAUUCAGGUGAUUUUGCUUUGGGUGAAAAAAAAGAAACAAAACCAAACAAACAACAAACCGUAAGCUCAGUUUACCAUUAUUUUGUUAUUCAGCAGAUCUGAAACACGGGGGGCUGAGACCUUGAAUUACAGUGUUAAGAGGAAUGCAAAGUUCCUUUGGCUGUUCCCCAUCCACACCAGCCCUGCAGUCCCAGUUAAAGCUGUCACCUCCUAUUGCAGCAUGCUGUUGUUCAGCAGCCACAAGUAGGUCACGUAGCACAGAUGGUCUUGCUGCCAGCAAAAUGUGGAGUCUGCAGUCCCCUUUGAGGCUAUUCCCUGUGCUCUCUCCUUUUCACACUGUUAGUAUGGAAAGAGUGGAAUGAACUCGCAUGCUACCAACUGUUUUAUCUUCUGCUCACUGAGGCUGAAAGCAAAAGGCAAAGCUCUACAAAUACCAGGAGUGAAAAAAGUGAUGGCAAGGUUGGAAAGAGGGCUGGAUUGGAGCUUUAUGAAAUAUGGCAUUGCUAUGUUACAGUGUUUCCUGGGUUUAGCUUGUCUUCACCCAGACUGAUGGAAGCCUGGAUUCAUGCAGAGCUGCUGUGCUUGACCUCCACAAGCAAAAAAAAAAGGGGGGGGGGAGGGGGGGAAGGAUGCUGCCAGGAUAUGUGGGAUACUAAUUUGUCUUUUUUUGCAACAUCAUAGCAUCCUUCUAUUCAUGCACUUUUCUGUAGAACAUAAAUGGGAGAGGACGUGUACCACUUAAAACUUGUUCCUAAAUACUAUGGCUGAGUUCCCUGCCAGAACACCACCAUCUCCAAGUUUAUUUCCCUAUCCUUUGCCUCAUCCUUCCUCUCAUCUCCACUAUCUGCAGAGCAACAGCAGCUCACCAGUGCAGCCUGGGUAAACACGGUGUGACAGCUGCCUGCUCUGUUACCUGGGUGCUUUUAUUUACUAAAUUAAUUGCUCUUUACAUUUUUGUGAAGUACCUUUCCCUGCUGGGUUUUUUUUAUGUUGUCACAUGCAAUUAUAAGCAGCAUGGUAUCUCAAUCUGAGCUUAAGCAAUUCAUGCUGCUGGAAGUGAGGGAUGUCACAGACUGCAAAGAAAAAGUAGCUGGAAAGACUGAAGGUUGUUGCUAUCAGAAUACUCUCAUGUUAUUAAAAAUAAACACAUGCAUGUAGCUAUUUCAUAUAAGCAUCUAAAAACACUUAAAGUUUGAAGUCAUCACAAUUUUCAUCCAGAGAAGCUUUGUUAUGAUUUCUGUGUGGGUGCUGAGGAAUGUAUUGUAAUUCGCCCAGUGCUUUACACUAGGCUAAAAAAGCAAGAUUCAGGAGUAGCGACCUAUGUUUCUGCUCUCUGGAUGCUUCAGGCUGAAAAUGUCAAUGAAAUUCCUGUUAUUUUUGUUUGUUUCUUUGAAGCACCUGAGAGAGGACUACGAGAGUAUAACACCAGACGUGUGGUUUCGGCUUCAGUCGGUAGAGGGAGUACAGACACCUGUGUGCAGCGCCAUGCGUGACAGCUGAGAGAGCAGGCUCUGCCCUGAGCCCUCUUUUUGUCUGCAAGAAACUUAUCUCCCUUAAGUGAACAUUUUCCUGCAGGCUAAAAGGCAGCGGUGGGCUACUAACGCUGUGAUCUGUGUGCAGUCUGCUUAAAGGUUAAGCCAUGAGCUGUUGCAAAAGCAGAAGAGGGAGGAAGUGUCUGUUAAAGCUUCGCUGUGUGGUAGCGUUGGAUAGUUAGAAUAGAAACAGGCAGUCUGGGUUCACCCACUCUUGACAAGGAGCCACUUGGUCUGUGUUUUUGACAUAACACUUGAUCUUGUAGCUUUGGUUGUCCCAUGAUAAAGGCAAUGCUUGCUGCCAUUUGAUUAAUGUCUGUCAGAAACUUUGAAAGAACUUUGCAAUGGAGUUAAUGCAAAGUGGAGUGGUUUUUAUUUUAAGCUACAGUAUUGCUUGACUUUUGCUUAGACGUGAUGCAGCUGUAAUGCAGCAUGGUUACCCUGUUCAGCAUCCAGCAUCUGUAUUUCUUUUAUGUUGUUUCCCUGUAUCAACAAUCUGGCAAUAUUCUCCACUGGCUGCCCCUAACUGGCACUGCAUGAUGCUAGGCAAUCCUGUUCAGUUGUGUAUUGUCUAUUAAAUGCUGAGCAAAACUUGAUCAGAGCCUUUGUCUGUCUGAAUGGAACAAAUGAAUCGUCAGUAAAAGUUGUUUGCAUUCAACUUCUUUAUGUCAAUGAUGAAAACUCAGUACUGUCAUUGUUUAGUAGGAGCCCAAGAAUUAUUAGGCAGUAGAACUCAAGAUUCCUUCAAGCUUGCACAGCAUGGAUUGCAGAGCAUGGAUUGCAGAGAAGGAAGAGCUGCAACGUUCAAACCAGGAAGUUCUUAAAGCAUAAAGGAGGAAUUCACCAAGAGGUAAAGAAAAAUAGGACUUGUGCUCUUCACACUUGCUUUAGUGGCUGUGUAUCUUUGCAGACUGUAUUAAUGCCACAGGAUAAUACAGAAAUAUGCUCUCAGACUUUGACUGUUUCAAAAGUUGAGUUGGCAGCAGAGUGGUGCCAGCACAGCCCUUGUGCUCCACACAGCUCCUUUCCAAUGAGAAGUGACUGGACAUUCCUGUGGAGAUUCCAGAGAUCUGCAAGAAGUCCAGGCUUCUCAGAAAGAGGUUCAGUGUCCUGUGCAAAAUAAUUAGUUCAGAGACAGUCAUCCCUGAUGGAAAGUUGAACUUCUGUGAGGAAAUAAGGGAUUUACAAGCUCAAAUCUUAGUGCUGUCUCUACUGGCAUUCCAUUGCAUCUGUGUUCUGCUGCUUUAAAACAAGGUGUUUUUGUGCAUUCCACACCUCUCAAAGCAAUACAGAUGAGGCAGCAAUGAUGGAAUGAAUCCAACAAGGUUAUAAUUUCUUUUCAACUCCUGCCCAAGCUGACCUGAGCAUUCUCAGAUGUAUUGUGAAGAAUAUAAAAUAAAAGAUACUUCAAGAGUGCCUACUGGGAGAGACCAGAAGGCUGUUCAAGCAAAUAUCCCUUCAGAGUAUCCCCAUACGUUAUCAUGGGCUCAAUGGAAAGAGAGGCAGCCCUGAAGUGCCAUAUCAAACAGCUAUUGAGUUUGUUCAGAUAAGUUUCUUUUCAAUUGAGAGUUGAGGGCUGUCUCAUACUAUUUGUUUUUCCUAAAUAGAAUUAACAUAGCUACAGCUGCAAUAUGAUUACCUUAACGACCUCUAAUGUAUUCUGGCUUUGUCUUCCACAGGUUAAUUUACUCAAAUUGUAUUUUUCCACUUGUUAGCUUUAUAUUUGCUGCCACGCUCCUCGGAUUUCUCCUGCUUCGAAAGAUGGUAACACAGUUUGCCUCUUUUCCUUCAUUCUUUUGGGUCUUUGCAACUAACAAGCUGGCAUUUCCCACUGGCCCGAUCUGAAGUGCAUACUGUGCAUUUGCAUUGUCUGAAGUCAUGACUGCAGUGCAUGCUGGCAUGACCAAGCCCUGACAUUUGCAGAGAAGGAAAAAAAGAAAAACAGACCAGGCAUUACUCAGUCUGUUUGUGCAUGCAGUGGGUCACCCUGCUCUGAACAGUGGUGCUUAGUGCAUUUACUCUGUUACCAUCUUUGAAGGGAUAGAAAAUGUGCUUCUUGUGCCAAGUACAGUGUAACACAGUUCUACUCAGGAAUAUCAGGUAUAAUUACUGUGUUUCCUGUUUCUAAACAUCGUUCUCGUGUGUCUGUGCCUUCUGUUGUGAAAUGGAGCACGUGUGUACUUCAUGCAGCAGUGAGGACUGACAGGUCAGUGGUUGUAGUGCAGCAGGUCAGGGCUCAGUCAUCAGUUCUGAUGUGACUGAAAAGGACUGAGCAGCUGCAGCUUUCAUUGAGCUUACCUGUGAGGAUUUAGAAUGGAGAUAAAUACUAGAGUAGGCACCAGGAGCUGUUUUAAUGUGUGGUGACCACAUUUAGUCUGGUCAGCUCAAAGCACUUUACAGAUUAGUUCAGCAGAAUUGUUCCUCUUUCACAGUUAGUGAAGACAGCUGAGAUGAAGGGAGUUUCCCUUUUAUGGUGGCAAUAAAACUAGAAAAUAGAUUGGAGUGCAGUUUUCAUGUACCGCAGUACUGCAUUCUGUAGAAAGCCAUACUGGUAGAUUUGUUCCUCAUUGGAAUAUAUAAUACAAUUGAUGCAGUGCAAUUAAUAAGACCAAACUGGCAGGAAACUAAGGAGUCACGCAUAAGUUCCUGGAUUUGGGUUAUAUCAUGGCAUCUGGCUGAUAAAAUCCACAUUAUAAGGGCUUUUCUGUAGUAAAUACUCUAAAAUCGAAGCCAACACCUGGCAAAUGACCAGGCUUCUUUAACCCUUCUAUACCCAUUUUAGUAAGGCUGGAUUUUUUGGGAGGCAUGUCUGACCUUUCCUCCUAGCAAUCGCUGCAGCAAUUUCCAGUCACAGAACGAGGUCAUUUCGGGCACCUUGCUGCCUUAUUUCUGCAUAAAGAAACAGUCUCCUCUUAAUAAAGACCUUGUGGUGAUUCUUUAAACCUUUUAAGGUCCUCCUAAGAAAUGACGGCUGGGAUCAGUGGAUGGUUGGAUAGGUUGAUGGUGAAAACAUAAUAUGGUGGGAAAAGCAAAAUCCUAACAUAUGGUAGAUAGUUUGUUGUACCAGAAUAGCACAUUUCUGUAGCAAAGGGAUGUUUCUGUGGAAAGAACAAAAUUCAGUUUAACUACCACAGAGCAUUCUCCCAGAGACAGGCUAGCAGCCCAUUCGCUGCCCUGGCUCUGAAAUGGGAUGUGCUGUGGGUUUGGAGCUUUGUAUUGAUGCAAUUCUCUUUACUGUGCUAUUUACGUCAGGUCAAUCAGGAUCUUCAGUUGAAGACUUUUCUUAAUUAGAAAAGACAUCUGGGGGAAGCAGAGGGCAACUAGUUGUACUGCAGUCAGUGUCCACUGUGGUCAGUGUCCACCAGGCCAGCUGGUCAAACCACCUGAGUGCAUUCCAAAGGAAGAUGUUCUUUUUAAAGUAUGGCUUUUCUCCAAGCAUCGAAAUUUGGAGCGCAUUUCCCUCCCCUUCCUCAUUAAACACAGCUUCACUUGUAGAUACCAAAAUCUCCUUCAGUUCUAGUCACAGACAGGGAGCUUUUUCAGCCUGGCUCCCCUCCCUUGACUUUGAUCUUCUAACACACUGUAGUUUAUGCAGAGGAAAUGGGACCCUCUUGCUUCUCUCAGGUCCUGCACAUUCUGUAGCUCUGAUAGCAGAAAACAUCUGGUGCUUCUAUUUGAUCUGCAAGAGUACUUGUCAGGCCCAAACAACAGGGAAAUAAUCUCCUUUUUUCAUGCUCUGUAGUCUGGUUCUAAUUUGUCACAGACCCUAUUCAACCAGGUGAGAGAAAAUGAUGGAUCUUUUCACCCCUGACAGCAGAAAGAAAAGCCUGAUGGCACAUACUUGGAGCAGAAACUGAAGAGGGGAGUAAUUUUUUGACAUAAAAGGAAAAAACAAUUGCUGAGCCAGAAGUAAUUUUGCUUUGCAAAACAUAAGAUGAUUUGGAUGGCUUGCAAACUAAUGGUGUUGUUGCACGCAAACAUGAUGGUCUGGCAACUGGAAAAAGGUAGAGUUGCCAUAUUAUGACUGAUUUUGCCACCUUUUAUUUUCCUGAGGAUGCACUGAGCUACACAGAGGUAUACAAACAGUUACCAGAGACUUUGCAAAGUAGACUGCAGCUUCAUGCAGUGGUUUGAGGAUAGGACGUUGUGCUGGGAGAUCUGAUACUUCUGACUGGCUUACUUCUGAUUUACUGGCUUACUUCUGUCUUGAAUCUGUAUAAGAAACCUAUAAACAGAGUAGAACAUCAUAAUAACCACGGUCUGGCAUCCUUAGUACUGUACCCAGCUGUGCUACUGGGUUAGAGCAUGUCUUGGGAAGGUAAGCUAGGUUCUCCCAGUGUUGGUUUCCAUGCCUACAAAAUGCUGGUGAUGUUUGCUCCCCUUUGAGGUCAGUGGGCAUUUUUAUCAGAGCAAAGCUUCCAGUGCAGCUCUCAGUUCUCCUGACAUGUAAAAAAAACAACUAAGCAAAGGACAGCCCAACCUUCAGUCCUGACUGAGACAAGCAGCAAUCUUUAGGGCAGUGACAAAGAAAAUGAAAAUAAAUAUGCAAUGCUUCGCUGGAACUGAAGGUUUGCUUAGAGUAACUCACCCACUACUUAAACUUGGGUUGUUCCCCUGGCCCCUCUUCAACAGAAAUAAGAUGUUGUACUUAAGUAGUACCAAAUAUCCCUUCAGCCUCCGUGCGUUGUGUUCUUCUAUUUGUGUGUUGUGUUCUCUCUGUGUAUUGUGUUCCUUUCUUUUGGUCACACUUGCUUGUAUAUGUAUGACACUGAGGUGUAGAUGUUGACCAACAUGUAUCUAUUUCUGCUGGAUGACCAUGGAUGCAGUGUUUUUUUCUCUACAGGACUCAACCCCCCAUUUGCAAAGAGGAGGUGCUGAUAGUCCCCAUCAUUGUAAGCUGAGAUCUUCAACCAAGGGUUGACAAUAAUCUGCUGCCUAAAAAGAGGAGGUAUCCGGAGCUCUCCACUGCCAGCAUAGUCUUGAGUGCAUCACUUGGAUGUUGUAUCAGUGGACAGAAUUUCAAGCCUCCACGUAAUGGAUACUGAAUUUCUCUAAUCUAUUGGCCACUGGGCUUGUGAAUACAGCUUUUCAUCAUGAAAAUUACUUCUUCAACAAUAAAGUGUGAUGCAUUUUA